rnacentral:lncRNA from 1 species
CCACUACCACCCCCUUAAUUACAAUGACAAGGCUGGGAUUUAGCCAGAAAUAAGGCGGAUAGAGGAUAAGAUUCGUUGGCUCGACUGCUAUAUAGUCAGUCGUAAUUAUAUUUUUUUAAAUUUAAUUUCUUAAAUUUAUGCAAUUUAGAGAAGUUCUAUUUCCUUGUGGAUGUGAUUGUACUUUUUCGAUGUGUAUUGGUUAUUUCAACUUGACUUGCUUUUUGGAUUUUUUGUUGCCCUCAUUGCUUCAGUGUUUGAGCGACUCUAAUUUUUAUCUCCAUACAAUUUCUUGAGGCUCUUUAUCCUGUAAAUUAAGGCAUUUCAUGUUUUAAUUUCUGGGCAUAUAGCAAAGUUCUCUAAUUGAAAUUUGCAAGAACUUGCAUUGUUAACUGAUCUUGGCACCACUAGCUCUAAAAAGGGGUGAAUUUUUGCUUAUGUUGUAGGUGUCUGUGAGGAGAAGCCAGAAGCUAUCUGACAAGAUACAGAAACUAGUUUCUCCUUUAUGGCAAGGUAAUCAAUUACUAGAAGCUGCAAAUUAAUAAUCAUUGUGUUUACUAAUUAGCUUCACACUUUAUAUUUAAGUAUGUACUAGUUAAUAUCUAAAGAAGGUUUGACUCAAGUGCAGAUGGGCACACCAUUAGUACUGCAUAAAGCUGCAAUAUCUGGC